rnacentral:lncRNA from 1 species
CGGGGGUCGGGAGAGGCGUCAGGAUCCCUGGCGCCGCCUGAGCCAGCGGCUGCUAGGAGGCUGUGUCCGCAAGCCAGCGGGGCGAGGCGGCUGGGCCCUGCGCGUCAGGUCCCGGCCUGGGGCACCGGGGCUGCCAGCGUCGGAGGAGGCCUGAGACCUGGGAGGAAGCUGGAGAAAAGAUGCCCUCUGAAUCUUUCUGUUUGGCUGCCCAGGCUCGCCUCGACUCCAAAUGGUUGAAAACAGAUAUACAGAUGAUAGUGUCGAACCAAGUGGAACAAAGAAAGAAGAUCUGAAUGACAAAGAGAAAAAAGAUGAAGACGAAACUCCUGCACCUGUAUAUAGGGCCAAGUCAAUUCUGGAGACCUGGGUGUGGGUCAAGCAACCAGUGGUGAAAAGAGAGGUCCAAAGAACUCGAGCAAUUUUCCCUAAGCCGUGUCCCUCGCAGAUGGAGAGAGAGGUAGGACUCAAACCCAGAAUUCUUAACCAGUACCCGGCAGUUGUUCCUUCCACAAUCUUAACAGUUACC